ACGUUAACAGACAAUUUCUUCCUGUGCUGUGAUGAUUUUCAAAUACCAGCUGCACCAUAGUUUGGCAUGAUCCUGAUUGCAGUGUUUAAAGUCACCUCUCAAAAUGUAGACACCUGUAGACAAUUCACAUUUAUUUAUUCAGUAAACAAGAUAAGUUGAGAACAUUGUACUUAUUCAGAUAUUAUUGUCUGUUGAUCUUAUAAAUUACAGCUGUUCCCAAUGGACUUAACCAACUUUUAGAAAGCUCUUUUCAAUUUCACUCCACCUAUGGGAUCAGUCUGAGGAAUAUUGAGGACUCCAUCCUUCUGAAUCCUCAGAUAUGCAUCUUGAUUUGAAGCUCUCCAAUUUUAGGGAAUACUGAAAUCAAUGCUGAUUUUAAUUACAAUAAAUGUUAUGUUAUUAAGUUAUUAUUUUUAUUACAUAUUCUCAUAGUAUCAAAAGCACUUGUGACAGUGAACAUCUGCUCAUCAACUGUCUCCUUUGAGAGUGUUCAUGUAUAAAAAAUGGAAAGUGUACCUGCAUUGAAUCUGCAAGCUCAAUUUUACUUAAUAAGAGGCUUGUGGAGAUCCUAAAAGCAUUGAAAAUCUAGACUCAUUGUGAAGUAUAUUUAAAGAUUUGGCAAGUUUACUGAUUUCUUCAUUUAAAUGCCACUACUGCUGAUUUUUUUUUUCUCAUUAAAUUUUGAUUUGGUUACUGUGGUUUAUUUAACCUGGGGUUUUGUCUCCUGAGCAGAUACACUUGGCAAUGUGUCAGAAAGUCAUGGUGACAUCUGACAUGCCCAGAGGAUUUCCUGGAGUCAGGGAGCUGACCAGUCCCUGGGCAGGGCUGAUGAAGCUGGGCAGGCUGGGAGGGGGCUGACAACUUCUGAUUAGCCUGCAGAAAUUGAACUCACCACCCUGCACCACCCAGAAUGGACCACGGGAUAGAAGAGUGGGCUUUCCUCAAGCCUCCAGAGACUAGUCUGUGCCUCCUGCAUGCCAGGUGCCCCCAGAGGACUUAUCUCUUGAGCCUCAACAGUUCCUGGGAUUGUGGAACCUCAGCUGGCACCAAGGGAUUCUCAGAGAGGACCCCGAUCCCCAGGCUGAAGAGCCCCUGAGCGAAGACCACUGUUUUAGUCCUGUGCCAGUCCUCUGUGUUCCUUGAGAUUUGUUCUGAAGUAUCCUACAGACAAAUUAAUUUGCCAGCCAGAAGUCUUCAGCGACUAUGUUGGGUGUAAGAGUUCCCCUCAGCCAGCUGGCAUAAGAAAGAGAAACAUUCCAGAAGAACUUCUUGUCUCCAAAUGUCCACCAUUCCCACCCCCAUCUAGUGAAAGCUUUUACAGCAUGCCUGGAAGUACGUCAAAUUGAGGCCAUUUUCAACAAAGGGAAAAAGGAAUGCACUCUAGAUCCUCGGGGCCUCGAUUGAGACUAUGCAGCUGCAAGCACCCUUUCUCUUUUUAAGGGAGUGAUUCAGACCACACUCUUCUAUUGGCUACAGAUGUAGCAAUGCUAUAUAUUAUGGUUCUCUCUGCAAUAUUUUAUUUUAAGCACUCUGCUGAGCAUUCACUGUUUAGAACUUGGUGUUCAGGCUGGGUCAUCUGUUCCCUUUUCUACAAGAAGAUUAUGCUUUGGCUGCAUCUAUAGACCCCAGUUGUACACAGAAGUGGUAUGCAUCCCACUGAUGAUGAAGUUAUAAAUUUUCUCAAGCAAUUCUGAAAUGGAAUUGGUCUUUAUUUCUGUUUUCUUAUUGUCCAGUAAAAUGAAGGAAAUCUGCCUACAUUCAACUAAUUCCAUGCUUCAUCUGAGUUGCAUCCCCUAGAUCUUCAUUCCCUUAAUCCCAUGGGCUUUGACCAGGUGAAAGUCUGGCUCCUGCUGUUGCCAGCAAAAUUCCAGUUGAUUUCAAGAGUUUAAUCUCAGAGUUUGGCUAAGGGUCAAAUUUAAUCUGGCAGGAAAGGUCUGAGGGCUGUUGCACGUUUCUGCAAUUUCCGCUAUGUUGUUGAUAUUGCAGUUGCAUGAGACCUAUGUACUCCAGAGCUGGAGUCACAUUUCAAAAAAGCACCCUACAAAUACUAGAUAUGGACACACUUCAUGCAUGGUCAGACUUGAUCUCCAUUUUCUGUGGCUGUUUUUUACAGUUAUUCCUCCUAUCCUUUCCUCAUUUGGAUGUGAUGCCAUGUCUUGCUGAAGUGUUGUUAGUGAGGAGAGUUGAUAGCCAAGGCUAAAUCCAAAUGCUUAAAAUACAAUCACAGUCUCCACAGCCUUCUAAUAUUUGAAAGCUUUGCUGAAAAGGAAAAAGAUAUAAGCUCAUAACUAAAAAUUUACAUCUCAAGUCAGGUUUAAAUAUGAAAUAAUCUCUGACAAGUCUGUUUGAUUUCCUUCACAAUAACCUUAUAAAUACAUUUUUCCUCCCUUGAUUUAAAUAUUUUCUUUUCUUAAUAAGUUUGAGUUCUAAAUAAUGGCUAAGUGAAUUUUUUUGAAGUUACAUUUAAGGAACUUUUUUUUUUUAGUUAUGGGAAUACUGUUUUGGUUCUGCAUGUAUACUGUUACUUCAGAAAACCAAAGCAGAAUGUUGUUCUUUUACACCAAAUGUGUUUUGCUGAAUAUAAAAUCCAGGGAAAGAGAUAAAUAACUUUUUACAAAUGUUGGUCUGUUCAUCAUUCCUCUGUUUGUACUGUAUUUCUGUGACAUGUAUGGGGCCAAUUUGUUGAGAUGGGUGGUUGAUGAGUGGAUGAUGGAUUCCCUCUGAUGAUUUACAGAUGCAGUUUAUCAUUUCUAGAUCACAUCUUCCUCUUUCCCUUGUUCAAAUGUUUGUGUGUGAUGGGAAUGAAGGCAGAGAGUUUUUUCUCAUGCUUUUAGUUUUGGUUAACCGUGCCACACAUUAAGAUCUUAACAUGCUAAAUAGAUAGCCUGAAUUAUUUAUAAGUGGUAAAGAUGUCAUUAAGUUUUUUAGGAUAUAGACAGAAAGCUCUUUUCUUUUUCCAUGUUCUUCUUCCCCAAAGUCAUAUUUCAUGAGUGUUCCUCACAAAGAUCACACGGGAGGGGUUGUAUUGGGGAUCUACUGUAGAAGGAGCCUAAGGCAUGAAAAAUUGUUGCUAUUUAGUCAGUAUAUAUGUACUAUGGAGUGCUUUAUGGAGAUUAUGAAUGUCAAACCCACUCUAGCCAAAGUAACUACAACAGAGCUAUAAGGAGACUUAGGUCAAAUCUAAUUGGUUCUCAUAGUAUUUUGUCAGUGAUUAUUCUUGUAUAGAUAUUAAGAGUAUUUGAGACAAUUACAGUUGGACUGAAUUCUCCUUUUCUUGUUGAACAUCAGGAAUAGGUGACAAUGGAAAAAUUCAGACCUGAGGGAUGAAAGCUGAAGACAUAGGGCUUAAUGAGAGCAAGCUUAAUGAUAAAAACCUUUUUUUUUUUUUUUUAAUCUAUUUGACUCCUACAUAUCACUCUCCUGUAGUACUAUGCCUUCAAAUGUAUGGGAUUAAGACUGCCUUAGUUUUUAAAUCAGUUUUGAAUAUUUAAGCUUUAAUAAUAAAAAAGCUUUAGUGUCAGAUCUUGCACAGGUUGUACAGUUGCUAACAGAACAUUUCUGCAGAGACAAAAUUAAUAUUGUGUUUUAAAAUUGACUAACACUUGAAUUGUGUAUAUGGCUACUAGUGACACCAACAACACUUAAUGAGUCUAGCAGUGUUUAUUUUUGAACCACUUUCUGUGUGGAUUCUCUCGUUCCCAUAGUCUCAGUCUCUGUCUUUCCACUUUACUUGGAAAAGGUUUCUCCUUCCAGCUUGUUCCUCACAGUUUUUUUUUUUUUUUUUUUUUUUUUUUUUUUUUAUAGCUUAGUUUGUUGGUUCUGAAACUGUGAUUCCCUGAAACUUCAAAGCCUUAACAGUGUUUUUAUGAAUAUAUUGUCAUGCCUGAACUACGUAACUAAAUGGCUUUUUUCACUUAUGUAGUGAUCUCAUGAUCAGAAUAUUAUCUCUCACUUGGGCACUUUCCAUGUGAGCAACAUAAAGCUGUCAACGGAGCUGUUCAAUAUGCCUCAUUCAAACGUGCUUUGCAUUUUCUUUAUAAAUCUGUGUCUGUGUGCCUCUGAACUGAUACCCAUUUGGUUCUGUAUCUCAAGGAGGGGUGGGCACUCAGGCAGGCAUCUGUCUCAGAUGGGUUGGUGGAGCUGUAAACACAGGUCAUCAUCAGGUUCAGGUGACAGUGUGCUCAGAAACCUCCAAACCCCAUUAGCUGGCUUUACUUCUUUGUACAGUGGUACCUGAGGCUUGUACCUGUGCUGGCAUUUCCUGAGUCUUCUGCUUUAGCGAUGUGAAGUCCACAGAAAUGAAAUAAAUUCCUGGACUGCAUACAUCAUUUCCAAGUGAAAAGGAUUUACUUCCCAAACUUUGUCCCCAAGACUGGCAGCCUGACUAUUUUCCACACCUCUACCAUUACGACCAAAUUCCCCUCUCUGUCCCUUUCCAAAAUUAUCUGCCUCAUCCUCAUUUUUUUUCCUGUUCCCUUUCCCAGAAAUUUUAUACUGUACUGCAGGCUUCUGUGUGUGUAGCUGGAAAUGGGAGGGAUUACUGUCACUCUGUAAUCUCAGCUCUGCACUAUAAGGGCAAAGUUCACACUCCCUGGCUAAGACAUCCUUAAUUUCAAGAUUUUUUCCCCCUUUAUAUCUAACACUAACAAACCAUGGUAAUGUAGUUGACAUUCGUUGAAAAUUUCCAUCAAUUCUUGUCUAAUUAGACAUAGUACAAUGACAGUAGAGUAAUUACAGUAAUCUUAGUCGUAUCAGUUGUGUAUUUUUUUUGUUAUUUUCUUUCUUUCUUUCACCCUUUGUGAAUAGGAUGUUAUUGAACUCAGCACUAUAACAGCAAAAUAGUAAUUAAACCUGGCAGUUUCAACUAUAUUCCUUUUUCAAAUGGAUUCUAAGUGUUUUUGAAAAACCUUAAUCCAGAAUUUAUGAGCAAAGACUACAGAAUAUAAUGGUGACAGAACCAGUAGAGUCUUAUAAACCUUAGGAUAAAUACUGUGUCUUUUGUGUAGAGGUCUUUUGUUGGGACCAGUCUAUGGUAUCUGUUUGUUUGGGAUUUGUUAGGGUCAGUCUGUGGAAGCGGAGAGCUGAGAUGAAACUUUCUAUUAAAAUUCUGCACAUUAGAUAAUAAGCUAUAGAAAGAUGUCCCAUUUUACUAAAUUCUCAUUUUUUUAUAGAAAGGUAAAUGAGAAACCAGUUAUCACAGGAUUUAUAACAGAAGCAAAGUAAAAUAAUGAAAUCUUGAGAAAUGUUUCUGUAAAAAGGCAGAAAGAUAUUUUUAUGCUGGCUGCUUGCUUAAGCUUUAUGCUGACACAAUUUAUUUUGAAAGUGGUUGGUGGAAAAUAUCUGUAACACAGCACAAAUCAAUAUUUGUUAUCCAUCUUAUUCCUUACCUGUCGUUUUAAUAGUCUGCUUGUUUAUAUCACUAUGAUUUUUUUAAUUAUUUAAUUUAUUUUCUAAUCUCUUGAGAUUGUACACUGCAAAGAACAAGAUCUGUUUUUUAAUUGUAUAUUGGGUAUACAAUAAGUAACUCAAUGGUUCCCUAGUACCUUCAAGAUGCUAUUGCAGCAACAAGUGACAGUAAAAAUAUUUUGUUGAAGUUAUCAUUUUUCUUCUUCUUCUUCUUCUUCUUUUU